rnacentral:tRNA from 1 species
GCCUCAUUAGCUCAGUUGGCCAGAGCGCGUGAUUGGUAAUCACGAGGUCGCGAGUUCAAUCCUCGCAUGAGGCU